AGGGAGAAUAUUGAAAUAAACUGACAGGGUACGCUUGAAAUUAUUCCCAGCUUCAGACAGGCCGGCAGUUUUAUAUAGCCUCUAUACUUUUUGUUUACUCUUGGUUUAAUGCUAAUGCAAGUGUUAAUUCUAAUAUAGCCAUGAUGAUGGAGAGUUCUUUUUGCCUCUAGGGUUUUAAUCUUAAAGCUUUGUGUUUUAAAUUAAAUAAGGCUCAGCAUCCGGCAUUAAAUGACCCAUUCAGAAUUAUUAGCUCUAUUUUCCAGCCUCUAUUUUCAGUCUGGCAAUACUGCUGCUAAACCCAGCUAUCACUUUAGUUGCUUCCAGAUAAGUCUGGAACUGUUAUGAUCUGGCAGAAAAACGUUGGUUCCUCAGUGAAUUGUCCUAGGGGAGUAUCUUAGACCUUUCAAGAGACAGGUACAAAACGCUGCAUAGUAAUGGCUUAUUCUUAAAACAGAGGAACGACAGGUGCUGUCCACAGCUAGCUUGUCACAGGUCUGAAGUUGGCUUUCGCACUACAGUUUUCCCAAUGGCUGAAUAUAGAUUACAAAUCGCUGGAAAUGGAAUGGAUGCCUAGCUUUUUGCUCCAUUGCUUUUCUCUGUAGCUGUCUCUACUUGUCCCAGUAGAGACAUCACUGAUAGGACACUUAAGAAAAUGUGUCAUGAACGUGAAGGAAUCGAAGCAAUGACAAAGCUGUUCUUUCAUAAAAGAGAAUAAAGGCUAAUAAAAUUAAAUAUCUACUAAUCCCUCACAGGGUGCCCAGAAACCGCCCAGGGAACUGCAGUCAGUUGUGCCCUUCCACGAGACCAGAAGGGUUUGAGUCAUGACUCUGYGUGGAGCACUUCGAAAGGAAGUCUCAGAGCUAUUCACAAGCUUCAAAACAAAUAAUCUCUCUGCUGAUGCGUGACAUCAUGCCCCCAAGAGAUCCUGCACAGCGCGCCUGAGAAGCGAGACGUCCUUCCUACCAGGCGCUGUCUCCCAACGUCAGCGAGAGCAGCGGGAGUGCGGAGUGCCAAGGGAGGGCGCACGCUGAGUCCAGGCCUGUCCCCAGCAGUGGGUGGUGCCACUAUUUCAGCCGCCGUUUACCCUGAGCAUCACACAGAGAACGGUCUGCCAAGCAAUAGCUCCGCCACAGGACUUUCAGGUAAAACACCUUCCUAACAUACUGAUUUCAAAUUAUACUUCUCUUUCGCUGGCUCAGUUCA
rnacentral:lncRNA from 1 species